CAGGAGUUCGCCACCAUGCCUGAUGGCAGAGUGGGGUUUGAAGCCAGCCUUGGUCUGGGGCAACUUCCUGGGCCUCUAAGAGCUUCAGCGUCCACAGCUGCGACAUCCACUGAGAUAGCUGAGAUGGGCUCCUGGCUUCUCAGCCCGAAGUGCAGCCUCCCUGCUGCAUCCUCCACCUUCUGGCCUCUCUGCCCUAAGCCUCUUCCCUGGGGGUCUCACUGCACCUGCCCUGUGGUACCAACGGCAGCCUGGAGGCCUCCAUCCUCACUUCUGCCCUGGCCCUCUGGGCCCCAGUCCCGCCCAGGCUCCCGGCCUGCACUCACUGGCCCACAGCUCCCAGUACAGCCGCAGUGGGGCGCUGCUCCCGUGCACGCCGGCGGGGGAGGCCGCCUGGCAGGAGUAGGUGAGCAGGUCUGGGCUGGACUUGAGCGUGACAUUGAGGGUGAAGGAGGCCGGCUGCUGAGUGUGCACCACCUUCUUGGCCAUUUGGAUGCCCUGGCUGGCGAAGAGGACGUAGGUGAUGGGUGGAAGAACCCGGGGCGCGUGGCACGUUAGGAGGAUGUGGCGACUUUGGGGGUAGACCUUCAGGACUUUGUAGGUCAUGGAGAUGUCUAGGGGGCGAGACAGAUGGAACGGGAAGAAAGAAACCGAGAUCACUCAAGCAUCUCGAGAAAAUACUGGUUUAGCAGUUCCUCAAAGUGAAAUGAAGACUUAGCACCAGACGUGGCAACUCCGCGACUAGACACACAGCAAGAAAAUGGGCUCUGCAGACACAAGUGAGAAGGUGCGCACACGGCCAACAAACUGGAAGCAAGUUGGAGACAGCCUGACCCCUCAUCAGCUUGUGGAAGCCAGGUUAUGGAUUUUAACUGAAAGCAGUGACCCAUUGUGGUGGCACAUGCCUGUAAUCCCAGCACUCAAGAGGCUGAGGCAGGAGGAUCGCUAGCUGCAACAGCGCCGCCCACCGAACAGGCUCGCGAGUGCAUUUGGAAUGAAUGAAUGCAUCCUGGAGCAGCCGUCUCUCAGCGUUUAGUUGCACACAGGACGCAGUCAGCACAAACCUAAGAAGUCAGGGGCUGAGCCGACAGGGAGGCCUAACUGACCCUCCCCAGGUACUUUCCUGAGACUCAGCCGCCUGCUCCUUUUUUUAGCUGCGACACCAACAAUGGGCUUGUUUUUAUGGCAAAUGAGGAAAUGAUAGUUCAGCUUCUGCCCCAUUCGAGUGAGACGUGCGUCGCCACUACCCGCGACCCGUCCGGAAGCAGAACGGAGGGGGGUGCUCAGGGACCCGGGGAUGAGACAGAGUGGUGACCAGCAGUGUCCACCCCAGCAGAUGCAGGCUGGAGGUGGCCACGAGGGAGGAGUGGGGGAGGGGCAGAGCGUUGGAGCUCAGAGGAGGCCCUUCCCUGGGGUCCCCUCCUCCCUGGCUCUGCACCAACCUGUGCGAUUUAUGGGGAGAGAGAGCUGAUGCUUCCCAUGCUGGACCCUAGAGAUCUCCACUGUCUCAUGUGGGAAGCCAGUCAUGGCCCACUGGCUUUUUGAAAGAUAACUUCUUUCUUUAUA